rnacentral:rRNA from 1 species
GACGAACGCUGGCGGCGCGCCUAACACAUGCAAGUCGAACGGUGAACGGGGCUUCGGCCCCGGGAUCAGUGGCGAACGGGUGCGUAACACGUGGGCAACCUGCCCCAGACCCUGGGAUAACCCCGGGAAACCGGAGCUAAUACCGGAUACUCCGGCCGAACCGCAUGGCUCGGCCGGGAAAGGGCCGCCGGUCUGGGAUGGGCCCGCGGCCUAUCAGCUCGUUGGUGGGGUAAUGGCCCACCAAGGCGACGACGGGUAGCUGGUCUGAGAGGACGACCAGCCACACUGGGACUGAGAUACGGCCCAGACUCCUACGGGAGGCAGCAGUGGGGAAUCUUGCACAAUGGGCGAAAGCCUGAUGCAGCGACGCCGCGUGAGGGAUGAAGGCCCUCGGGUUGUAAACCUCUUUCGGCAGGGACGAAGCGAUCGUGGCGGUACCUGCAGAAGAAGCCUCGGCUAACUACGUGCCAGCCGCCGCCGUAACAC